UUAACAUUGAAAGCUAUCAUACAAUGCUUUCCGCCAGAGAACUACAAGUGAAAAACUUUAAACUCAAAGGACUUGACGGUGUCCCAUAUCGACCUAGAGGAGCCUGUCCUAUAAUCGAUGCUCCCCGUUCCACCCGACCCCAGCUAGCAAUAAAAUCAGCCUAUAUACCGCCGUCGACAGUCUACCCUAUGAAGGCCCAACAGUAGAUACAAUAGUCCCCCCACUAAUACGACAGGUCAAGGUGUAGCAAAUGCUGGGGAAGAGAUUGGCUACAUUUUUUAUGAUAAAAAAUACGAAAUGCACUAUGAAACACUGCAUGAAGGCGAAUUUAGUAGUAAAAUAAAUAAGAGUAUUUAUUUUAACAAC
rnacentral:rRNA from 1 species